rnacentral:piRNA from 1 species
UAAAACAUGGAUGUCCACAACUGACCGUU